rnacentral:rRNA from 1 species
GAUGAACGCUGGCGGCGUGCCUAAUACAUGCAAGUCGAGCGAACAGACGAGGAGCUUGCUCCUUUGACGUUAGCGGCGGACGGGUGAGUAACACGUAGGUAACCUACCUAUAAGACUGGGAUAACUUCGGGAAACCGGAGCUAAUACCGGAUAAUAUUUCGAACCGCAUGGUUCGAUAGUGAAAGAUGGCUUUGCUGUCACUUAUAGAUGGACCGGCGCCGUAUUAGCUAGUUGGUAAGGUAACGGCUUACCAAGGCAACGAUACGUAGCCGACCUGAGAGGGGGAUGGGCAACACGGGAACUGAGACAGGGCCCAGACUCCUAGGGAGGGAAGCGUUGGGAAACUUGCCGCAAGGGGCGAAGGCUGACCGGGGCAACGCGGGGUGGGUAAGAAGGGCCUUCGGAUCGAAAAACUCUUUUAUAGGGAAGAAACAAAGGUGAAGGAAACUGUGCAGUUCUGGAGGGAACCUAAUCAGAAGGCCAGGGCAAACUAGGG